CAGCCGCCACGGUAAUACGUAGGUCCCGAGCGUUGUCCGGAUUUAUUGGGCGUAAAGCGAGCGCAGGCGGUUAGAUAAGUCUGAAGUUAAAGGCUGUGGCUUAACCAUAGUACGCUUUGGAAACUGUUUAACUUGAGUGCAAGAGGGGGGAGCGGAAUUCCAUGUGUAGCGGUGAAAUGCGUAGAUAUAUGGAGGAACACCGGUGGCGAAAGCGGCUCUCUGGCUUGUAACUGACGCUGAGGCUCGAAAGCGUGGGGAGCAAACAGGAUUAGAUACCCGCGUAGUCCCUGUCUCUUAUACC
rnacentral:rRNA from 1 species